AAUCUGUUAGAGGAUGGGUAUCUUGUCACAGAACAACCCUUUUGGACAUCUUUAUAAAUGUUUUAGUAACUGAGCAAUGGAUCAGUGAUGCAAAAUACUUUCUUAUCUAGCAGCAGCUCUUAUCUGAAUUUACUGUAUCUACUGUGGAGAAAGCACGAGGUUCCAGUGCUACAGUGUUUGUGUUGUGAGCACUACAAAACUUUUUAAAACCACUGUUCAUUUGCUCAGUAUCAAAGAAAACAUUUUAACCAAACUUAAGUGCUAACUAGUCACUCAGAGGUCUUCACUACCUAAAAUUUUCCUUCAUAACAGAAUCUUUACAGUGUAUGAGAUAGAAAUAAUAAAAUAAUUUUCUUAUUCUUUCCCUUAGGCAUUUCCUGGAAACACAAACUCUGAUAGUGUGCUCCGACAUGAUUUGCAACACCCAGUCAUUGCUCGCUAUGUACGUAUAGUUCCUUUAGAUUGGAAUGGAGAAGGCCAAAUUGGGUUAAGAAUUGAGGUCUACAGCUGCUCCUACUAAGACUUGAAUAGACCAGUUGAGGAAAAGAUAGCAUUCAGAUACAUUUCAUGCUGGGUCUUGAGAGGGAAACAAGACAUAAUUCAUUGCCUGAUGACAAAGAUAAAAAUAAAACAAGUAAAAAUUCAAUUGAAGAAGCUCAUCUUGUCUAAAUAUUACAUGUUUUUCGGAGAUUUUUCCUUUAAUAUUUGAGUAUAACUUUAGAAUCUCUUCUAAAAAAAAAAACGAGAUGAGCAAUGGUGCAAGUGGUUAAGAGCACAACAGAUCAAGUUUUAAGAAAAGCAAGUGUAGUUUCUAAAUACCAUUCCUUGAAUUUGAUCCUGUGGGUGCUUACGUGAAGUCCACAUGCCUGCAAACUGUAAAUGUCUGAUGUCCUAUUUCUAUGCAAAUUUAGUACAGUAUUCUUGUAGGUGUUUUAGGGAAAAUAAAUACUUGAGAUUUAUCUUAAAAAAAUAACAAUAAAAAAUGUUAGAACAAGUUAAGAAGCACCUAUCUUGAAGACUCUUCCAUUGACAUCAAGUGAUUUAAGGCCUAUUGAAACACUUUGUCAUGGUAACUAGCAAUUAUGUUAAUUAACUAGCAAAAAUAUCUUGUGAUUUCUGUUGCUUUGACUUGGCUAUGUGCUUUCAUUAAACACUAUUGAGAAUCA